rnacentral:rRNA from 1 species
UACGGAGGGAGCUAGCGUUGUUCGGAAUUACUGGGCGUAAAGCGCACGUAGGCGGCUCAGCAAGUCAGGGGUGAAAUCCCGGGGCUCAACCCCGGAACUGCCCUUGAAACUGCUAAGCUAGAAUCCUGGAGAGGCGAGUGGAAUUCCGAGUGUAGAGGUGAAAUUCGUAGAUAUUCGGAAGAACACCAGUGGCGAAGGCGACUCGCUGGACAGGUAUUGACGCUGAGGUGCGAAAGCGUGGGGAGCAAACAGGG